GUGUCAGCCGCCGCGGUAAUACGGAGGAUCCAAGCGUUAUCCGGAAUUAUUGGGUUUAAAGGGUCCGCAGGCUGUUUGUUAAGUCAGGGGUGAAAUCCUACCGCUCAACGGUAGAACUGCCUUUGAUACUGACAAACUUGAGUUAUUGUGAAGUAGUUAGAAUGUGUAGUGUAGCGGUGAAAUGCAUAGAUAUUACACAGAAUACCAAUUGCGAAGGCAGAUUACUAACAAUUAACUGACGCUGAGGGACGAAAGCGUGGGUAGCGAACAGGAUUAGAUACCCUGGUAGUCCACGCCGUAAACGAUGGUCACUAGCUGUUCGAUGUACAUUGGUACAUUGAGUGGCUAAGCGAAAGUGAUAAGUGACCCACCUGGGGAGUACGCUCGCAAGAGUGAAACUCAAAUAAAUUGACGG
rnacentral:rRNA from 1 species